rnacentral:rRNA from 1 species
GAUGAACGCUGGCGGCGUGCCUAAUACAUGCAAGUCGAGCGAACAGAUGAGGAGCUUGCUCCUCUGACGUUAGCGGCGGACGGGUGAGUACACGUGGAUAACCUACCUAUAAGACUGGGAUAACUUCGGGAAACCGGAGCUAAUACCGGAUAAUAUAUUGAACCGCAUGGUUCAAUAGUGAAAGACGGUUUUGCUGUCACUUAUAGAUGGAUCCGCGCCGCAUUAGCUAGUUGGUAAGGUAACGGCUUACCAAGGCAACGAUGCGUAGCCGACCUGAGAGGGUGAUCGGCCACACUGGAACUGAGACACGGUCCAGACUCCUACGGGAGGCAGCAGUAGGGAAUCUUCCGCAAUGGGCGAAAGCCUGACGGAGCAACGCCGCGUGAGUGAUGAAGGUCUUCGGAUCGUAAAACUCUGUUAUUAGGGAAGAACAAAUGUGUAAGUAACUAUGCACGUCUUGACGGUACCUAAUCAGAAAGCCACGGCUAACUACGUG